rnacentral:tRNA from 1 species
CAAGAUGUAGCUUAAACUAAAGCACCUGGCUUACACCCAGAAGAUUUCACGUUAAACUGACCAUCUUGA